rnacentral:misc_RNA from 1 species
AACGCACAUUGCGCCCCUUGGUAUUCCGAGGGGCAUGCCUGUUCGAGCGUCAUUAUGACCACUCAAGCCUGGCUUGGUAUUGGGGUUCGCGGUUCCGCGGCUCUUAAAAUCAGUGGCGGCGCCAUCUGGCUCUAAGCGUAGUAAUCUCCCUCGCUACAGAGUCCCGGUGGAUGCUUGCCAGCAACCCCUUAUUUUCUUAGGUUGACCUCGGAUCAGGUAGGGAUACCCGCUGAACUUAA